rnacentral:rRNA from 1 species
UACGAAGGGGGCUAGCGUUGUUCGGAAUACUGGCGUAAGGCGUGACGCAGCGGUGGAUGUAAGACAGGUGUGAAAUCCCCGGGCUUAACCUGGGAACUGCAUUUGUGACUGCAUCGCUGGAGUGCGGCAGAGGGGGAUGGAAUUCCGCGUGUAGCAGUGAAAUGCGUAGAUAUGCGGAGGAACACCGAUGGCGAAGGCAAUCCCCUGGGCCUGCACUGACGCUCAUGCACGAAAGCGUGGGGAGCGAAACAAGGAUUGAUGAAACCCGGACGGUAGUC